rnacentral:rRNA from 1 species
AGUCGAACGAGGUGGCCCACAGAAUUUGAUAGAAACUUUGAGAGCUUGCUCGAGAAGUGGAAAGAGAAGGACGUGGAAUUUCCACCUAGUGGCAAACGGGUGAGUAACACGUGGGUUACCUACCUCUUAGAUGGGGAUACCAAUUGGAAACGAUUGUUAAUACCGAAUGUGAUCUACGGAUUAAAGGAAGCCUUUAAAGCUUCGCUAAGAGAUGGGCCUGCGGUGCAUUAGAUAGUUGGUGGGGUAAGAGCCUACCAAGUCAACGAUGCAUAGCUGAACUGAGAGGUUGAUCGGCCACACUGGGACUGAGACACGGCCCAGACUCCUACGGGAGACAGCAGUUAGGAAUAUUCGUCAAUGGGGGAAACCCUGAACGAGCAAUGCCGCGUGAACGAUGACGGUCCUCUGGAUUGUAAAGUUCUGUUGUUUGGGAAGAACGGCUCUAAUAGGAAAUGAUUAGAGAUUGACUGUACCAUUCAAGAAAGCCACGGCUAACUACGUGCCAGCAGCCGCGGUAAUACGUAGGUGGCGAGCGUUAUCCGGAUUUAUUGGGCGUAAAGCGUCCGCAGCCGGUUUAUUAAGUAUAGAAUAAAACUUCGGGGCUCAACCCCGUCUCGUUCUAUAAACUGAUAGACUAGAGUGUGGUAGAGGCAAGUGGAAUUUCUAGUGUAGCGGUAGAAUGCGUAGAUAUUAGAAGGAACACCAGUGGCGAAGGCGACUUGCUGGGCCAUCACUGACGGUCAGGGACGAAAGCGUGGGGAGCGAAUAGGAUUAGAUACCCUAGUAGUCCACGCCGUANACGAUGAGCACUAAGUGUCGGGCAACNGGUGC